rnacentral:tRNA from 2 species
GCUGCCGUAGCUCAGGGGUAGAGCACUCCCUUGGUAAGGGAGAGGCCCGGGGUUCAAUUCCCCGCGGCAGCACCA